GCCUAAUCUCCCAUCAGAAGGCUUUCC
rnacentral:piRNA from 1 species